rnacentral:lncRNA from 1 species
CAAGCCCAGACUAACCAAUUCCAUGCGCAAGCAAUUGCAAAACUUGAGGUUAGUCUGAGCCAAAUAGCUAACUCUCUAGGGGAUAGGAAGAAAGGUGAACUACCUAGUCAACCAGUGCCUAACCCUAGUAGACAAUAAAAUCAAGGUCAGAUAGGUCAGUAUCAAAUCAAUUCUAAUGGAAAUCCGACCUAUGAAGUCCAGGCAAUUACCACUUUAAGGUCUGGCAAACAAGUGGACAAUAAAGUCCAACUUCCUGAAAAUGAAAAAGAAAAUAAAACUGAAUC